CUGCUUUAGCGGCCUAGGCCGGCUGCUGUUGCUGUGGAAACUGACACCCUUGCUUCCAGGAGCAUUCACUCCAUCAUGGUGAGAAAGGCAUAUCUUUGCCAGCAGAGGAAUGUGAGCUAAAGUGGCUGGCCGCAGCAAGGCUAAACCAGAAAGUGGAGAAGUGGACCAGAGAAGAGGAGAGUAAAGUGAUACUAAAUAAGUAUAGGGAGUUGCACGAGUUCCCACCAUCGGAAAUUGAGUGCAUCAGCGUUUGUGCUGAAACCAUGUGUGUUCUGAACUGUGUUCUUGACUCCAGCUCCAGUCUCCAGAUAUCCAUGUCUGCUUAUUUGCCAAAUAAUCAUCUUCACAGCAAAAGAAAAUACCUUGAGGUCACAGAAGACAGAAGGAGGCAAAGUACGGUGCUCUUGAGUAAAAAGUCUUUGAAGUCGGUGUAGUA